UCAAAUAGCUUAAUGUUAUAAUAAAAUUAAGAAGCUAAUGUGUAUCUGCGUGUGUUUGAACAUCAGUCUCUUUAUUUUAUUAUAACAUUAAGCUGUUUA